rnacentral:rRNA from 1 species
GAUGAACGCUGGCGGCGUGCCUAAUACAUGCAAGUCGAGCGAACAGACGAGGAGCUUGCUCCUCUGACGUUAGCGGCGGACGGGUGAGUAACACGUGGAUAACCUACCUAUACGACUGGGAUAACUUCGGGAAACCGGAGCUAAUACCGGAUAAUAUAUUGAACCGCAUGGUUCAAUAGUGAAAGACGGUAUUGCUGUCACUUAUAGAUGGAUCCGCGCCGCAUUAGCUAGUUGGUAAGGUAACGGCUUACCAAGGCAACGAUGCGUAGCCGACCUGAGAGGGUGAUCGGCCACACUAGAACGGAGACACGGUCCAGACUCCUACGGGAGGCAGCAGUAGGGAAUCUUCCGCAAUGGGCGAAAGCUUGACGGAGCAACGCCGCGUGAGUGAUGAAGGUCUUCGGAUCGUAAAACUCUGUUAUUAGGGAAGAACAAAUGUGUAAGUAACUAUGCACGUCUUGACGGUACCUAAUCAGAAAGCCACGGCUAACUACGUG